ACAGUAGAAUACAGCUAAUCAUAAAUGGACCAAUAUCUCCAGCUGAUCUCGAGGACUUGGGAGUUGGAGCAAGAUGAUUCCCAGGGCUUCUCUCACCAUCCUCUUCAUUGCGCUCCUAAUUUCGGCUGAAUCAAUGGCUCCAUCAGAAACCAGAUCAACAAACAUGCCGACCAGAGUACUACCAAAGACGAGAUACCACGGCGAGUACUUUAGCA